UAUGGUAGUUGUUGAUUGCAUCGGAUAUUCAACUGCCGCCUUGGAGGAAGAAAUAUUAGUCCGUUUUAACAAGAUCCACUCGGAGCUGUUGAUUGCAACAGAUUCAACCACUGCCUUGUUUUAUCUAAUAAGGGGGUUUCUUUGAUGAGUUUUGCUAAAUCUGGAUUUCUCUUUUGGUAGCUCACAUGUUUCGUGAAUCUAUGUUGAGUACCUCUGUUGGUUUCUUCAUUCUUCAGGGAGAGCAAGAUUUGUGGGGCCUGCAUUAGGAGACUGCAACCUUUCCUAUGAUUGUAGAAGGGGGCUAUGGAAUCGUCUUUAUCCAUCAAUUAAUAUCGGAUUUGCAGCAUGGUUUAUCGAUAA